rfam:Callithrix jacchus chromosome 7, whole genome shotgun sequence
GGCUGGUCCAGUGCAAUGGUGCUUACAACUAAUUGAUCACAACCAGUUACAGAUUUCUUUGUUUCUUUUUGACUCCCACUGCUUCACUUCGCUAGCCUUAA